rnacentral:rRNA from 1 species
UACGAAGGAUCCAAGCGUUAUCCGGAUUUAUUGGGUUUAAAGGGUGCGUAGGCGGGCUAUUAAGUCAGUGGUGAAAGCCUGCAGCUUAACUGCAGAAUUGCCAUUGAUACUGAUGGUCUUGAGUACACUUGAGGUGGGCGGAAUGUGUCGUGUAGCGGUGAAAUGCGUUGAUAUCUAUCGGAACGCCGAAGGUGAAAGCAGGCCGCUGGGCCGAUUCUGACGCUGAGGUACGAAAGCGUGGGGAGCGAACGGG